GACGAACGCUGGCGGCGUGCUUAACACAUGCAAGUCGAACGAAGUGGCGAACGGGUGAGUAACGCGUAAUAAACCUGCCCUUCAGCGGGGGACAACAGUUGGAAACGACUGCUAAUACCGCAUACUGAAGGAGGGGAUUGCGUCUGAUUAGAUAGUUGGAUGGGUAACGGCCCACGAAGGCGAUGAUCAGUAGCCGGUUUGAGAGGAGGAACGGUCACAUGGGGACGUAGACAUGGCCCAGACUCCGACGGUAGGCAGCAGUGGGGAAUCUUCCGCAAGGGACGAAAGUCGGACGGAGCAACGCCGCGUGAGUGAUGACGGCCUUCGGGUGGUAAAGCUCUGGUGUUAGAGAAGCGGUAUCUAACCAGAAAGCCACGGCUAACUACGUGCCAGCAGCCGCGGUAAUAC
rnacentral:rRNA from 1 species